rnacentral:rRNA from 1 species
AACCGGAUUAGAUACCCUGGUAGUCCACGCCGUAAACGAUGUCGACUUGGAGGCUGUUCCCCUGAGGAGUGGCUUCCGGAGCUAACGCGUUAAGUCGACCGCCUGGGGAGUACGGCCGCAAGGUUAAAACUCAAAUGAAUUGACGGGGGCCCGCACAAGCGGUGGAGCAUGUGGUUUAAUUCGAUGCAACGCGAAGAACCUUACCUACUCUUGACAUCCAGAGAACUUUCCAGAGAUGGAUUGGUGCCUUCGGGAACUCUGAGACAGGUGCUGCAUGGCUGUCGUCAGCUCGUGUUGUGAAAUGUUGGGUUAAGUCCCGCAACGAGCGCAACCCUUAUCCUUUGUUGCCAGCGAUUCGGUCGGGAACUCAAAGGAGACUGCCGGUGAUAAACCGGAGGAAGGUGGGGAUGACGUCAAGUCAUCAUGGCCCUUACGAGUAGGGCUACACACGUGCUACAAUGGCGCAUACAAAGAGAAGCGACCUCGCGAGAGCAAGCGGACCUCAUAAAGUGCGUCGUAGUCCGGAUCGGAGUCUGCAACUCGACUCCGUGAAGUCGGAAUCGCUAGUAAUCGUGGAUCAGAACGCCACGGUGAAUACGUUCCCGGGCCUUGUACACACCGCCCGUCACACCAUGGGAGUGGGUUGCAAAAGAAGUAGGUAGCUUAACCUUCGGGAGGGCGCUUACCACUUUGUGAUUCAUGACUGGGGUGAAGUCGUAACAAGGUAGC